CCUACGGGUGGCAGCAGUGAGGAAUAUUGGUCAAUGGCCGAGAGGCUGAACCAGCCAAGUCGCGUGAGGGAAGACGGCCCUACGGGUUGUAAACCUCUUUUGUCGGGGAGCAAAGCGAGUCACGUGUGACUCAUUGAGAGUACCCGAAGAAAAAGCAUCGGCUAACUCCGUGCCAGCAGCCGCGGUAAUACGUAGGGGGCAAGCGUUAUCCGGAUUUACUGGGUGUAAAGGGAGCGUAGACGGCAAGGCAAGCCAGAAGUGAAAGGGCAGGGCUCAACCCUGUACAUGCUUUUGGAACUGUGGUGCUAGAGUGCAGGAGAGGUAAGUGGAAUUCCUAGUGUAGCGGUGAAAUGCGUAGAUAUUAGGAGGAACACCAGUGGCGAAGGCGGCUUACUGGACUGUAACUGACGUUGAGGCUCGAAAGCGUGGGGAGCAAACAGGAUUAGAUACCCUAGUAGUC
rnacentral:rRNA from 1 species